CAUCGUUGGGUCAAUGUUUCUGCUCAAGAGCAAUUGCCGCUUCCUGUGGUUUUGCGCGACAUGGGUGGCUUUCUCUCGACCUGCUUGCUGGACUGCCACAUACAGGCACUAUUUUAGUGUCCCAUCAGGCAGACACACGCGCGCGCGUGUGCGGACGGCGAGCGAGCGAGUGGCACUGACCGCACGGCAGCGUUGGUGACGCGGAAGCAACCCGAGAUGUCGAGGUGCUGCAGUCGGGGGCAGCCC